GAACGCAUAUUGCACUUUCUGGUAAUUCAGAGAGUAUGCCUGUUUGAGGGUCAUUUAAAUCAUAAGUUCUAGAUUUCUUAGAAAAAAUGGGUCUUCCAAAUUUUAUGGUUACCUAAAAUGCAAGACUUGCCCAUUUUUUUGGGUUACGUGAUACUUGUUAUUCGUGACUUCCGAGAAAUCUGCAGGCGUGUUGUAAUUUUGCAAAAACGAAUCGAAUUUGUCAUUUGUCUUUGCAAAAUAUAAUAAAUUGAAUCUUGACCUCAAAUUAGGUAGGAGUACCCGCUGAACUUAAG
rnacentral:misc_RNA from 1 species